AAGAAAACCAGAGACAAAGACAAAUACUGGACUGUGUUUGGAAUCCGACAGUCCUGAUACACAAAACAGUAAGGAUGACACUGACCUGUGGCUUAUUUCCGGUGCCUGUCGCUCACUAUUUCUGGUCCCAGUGGCUCACUUUCGGUGCGUGUGGUUUAUUUCCAGUGGCUGUGGUACCGCUGCCACUGUUCUGUUGGUGCAGAGCAGUUUACAAAGGCUAGCGCAUCAUACGACUCUACGGACUUUCAAGCCAGGCAUGAAGUCCAUCUGUUUGUUGGUUAUGGAAUGGGAGUCAGGCUAAUAAUGCAGACAUGUCCAGCAGCACUUGGUGGUUCAAGAAGAGGUUCCUCAUGAGCAGCAGGAGUGGAAUCCUGUUGUGGACCAGGAGAAACCAGAACCAGAGCCCCCA